rnacentral:rRNA from 1 species
GGGAAUCUGCCCCUCGGUUCGGAAUAACAGCGAGAAAUUGCUGCUAAUACCGGAUGAUGACUUCGGUCCAAAGAUUUAUCGCCGAGGGAUGAGCCCGCGUAAGAUUAGGUAGUUGGUGGGGUAAUGGCCCACCAAGCCGACGAUCUUUAGCUGGUCUGAGAGGAUGAUCAGCCACACUGGGACUGAGACACGGCCCAGACUCCUACGGGAGGCAGCAGUGGGGAAUAUUGGACAAUGGGCGAAAGCCUGAUCCAGCAAUGCCGCGUGAGUGAUGAAGGCCUUAGGGUUGUAAAGCUCUUUUACCAGGGAUGAUAAUGACAGUACCUGGAGAAUAAGCUCCGGCUAACUCCGUGCCAGCAGCCGCGGUAAUACGGAGGGAGCUAGCGUUGUUCGGAAUUACUGGGCGUAAAGCGCACGUAGGCGGCUACUCAAGUCAGAGGUGAAAGCCCGGGGCUCAACCCCGGAACUGCCUUUGAAACUAGGUAGCUAGAAUCUUGGAGAGGUCAGUGGAAUUCCGAGU